AGCGUACACGGUGGAUGCCCUGGCAGUCAGAGGCGAUGAAGGACGUGCUAAUCUGCGAAAAGCGUCGGUAAGGUGAUAUGAACCGUUAUAACCGGCGAUGUCCGAAUGGGGAAACCCAGUGCAAUUCGUUGCACUAUCGUUAACUGAAUACAUAGGUUAACGAGGCGAACCGGGGGAACUGAAACAUCUAAGUACCCCGAGGAAAAGAAAUCAACCGAGAUUCCCCCAGUAGCGGCGAGCGAACGGGGAGCAGCCCGGAGUCUGAAUCAGCUUGUGUGUUAGUGGAAGCGUCUGGAAAGUCGCAGGGUACAGGGUGAUACUCCCGUACACUAAAACACACAGGCUGUGAACUCGAAGAGUAGGGCGGGACACGUGGUAUCCUGUCUGAAUAUGGGGGGACCAUCCUCCAAGGCUAAAUACUCCUGACUGACCGAUAGUGAACCAGUACCGUGAGGGAAAGGCGAAAAGAACCCCGGCGAGGGGAGUGAAAAAGAACCUGAAACCGUGUACGUACAAGCAGUGGGAGCCUCUUUAUGGGGUGACUGCGUACCUUUUGUAUAAUGGGUCAGCGACUUAUAUUCUGUAGCAAGGUUAACCGUAUAGGGGAGCCGCAGGGAAACCGAGUCUUAACUGGGCGUUAAGUUGCAGGGUAUAGACCCGAAACCCGGUGAUCUAGCCAUGGGCAGGUUGAAGGUUGGGUAACACUAACUGGAGGACCGAACCGACUAAUGUUGAAAAAUUAGCGGAUGACUUGUGGCUGGGGGUGAAAGGCCAAUCAAACCGGGAGAUAGCUGGUUCUCCCCGAAAGCUAUUUAGGUAGCGCCUCGUGAAUUCAUCUCCGGGGGUAGAGCACUGUUUCGGCUAGGGGGCCAUCCCGGCUUACCAACCCGAUGCAAACUACGAAUACCGAAGAAUGUUAUCACGGGAGACACACGGCGGGUGCUAACGUCCGUCGUGAAGAGGGAAACAACCCAGACCGCCAGCUAAGGUCCCAAAGUCAUGGUUAAGUGGGAAACGAUGUGGGAAGGCACAGACAGCCAGGAUGUUGGCUUAGAAGCAGCCAUCAUUUAAAGAAAGCGUAAUAGCUCACUGGUCGAGUCGGCCUGCGCGGAAGAUGUAACGGGGCUAAACCAUGCACCGAAGCUGCGGCAGCGACACUAUGUGUUGUUGGGUAGGGGAGCGUUCUGUAAGCCGUUGAAGGUGUCCUGUGAGGGGUGCUGGAGGUAUCAGAAGUGCGAAUGCUGACAUAAGUAACGAUAAUGCGGGUGAAAAACCCGCACGCCGGAAGACCAAGGGUUCCUGUCCAACGUUAAUCGGGGCAGGGUGAGUCGACCCCUAAGGCGAGGCCGAAAGGCGUAGUCGAUGGGAAACAGGUUAAUAUUCCUGUACUUGGUGUUACUGCGAAGGGGGGACGGAGAAGGCUAUGUUAGCCGGGCGACGGUUGUCCCGGUUUAAGCAUGUAGGCUGGUUAUCCAGGCAAAUCCGGAUAAUCAAGGCUGAGGUGUGAUGACGAGGCACUACGGUGCUGAAGUAACAAAUGCCCUGCUUCCAGGAAAAGCCUCUAAGCAUCAGGUAACAUCAAAUCGUACCCCAAACCGACACAGGUGGUCAGGUAGAGAAUACCAAGGCGCUUGAGAGAACUCGGGUGAAGGAACUAGGCAAAAUGGUGCCGUAACUUCGGGAGAAGGCACGCUGAUAUGUAGGUGAAGUGAUUUACUCAUGGAGCUGAAAUCAGUCGAAGAUACCAGCUGGCUGCAACUGUUUAUUAAAAACACAGCACUGUGCAAACACGAAAGUGGACGUAUACGGUGUGACGCCUGCCCGGUGCCGGAAGGUUAAUUGAUGGGGUUAUCCGUAAGGAGAAGCUCUUGAUCGAAGCCCCGGUAAACGGCGGCCGUAACUAUAACGGUCCUAAGGUAGCGAAAUUCCUUGUCGGGUAAGUUCCGACCUGCACGAAUGGCGUAAUGAUGGCCAGGCUGUCUCCACCCGAGACUCAGUGAAAUUGAACUCGCUGUGAAGAUGCAGUGUACCCGCGGCAAGACGGAAAGACCCCGUGAACCUUUACUAUAGCUUGACACUGAACACUGGUCCUUGAUGUGUAGGAUAGGUGGGAGGCUUUGAAGUGUGGACGCCAGUCUGCAUGGAGCCAUCCUUGAAAUACCACCCUUUAAUGGCUGGUGUUCUAACGUGGACCCGUAAUCCGGGUUGCGGACAGUGUCUGGUGGGUAGUUUGACUGGGGCGGUCUCCUCCUAAAGAGUAACGGAGGAGCACGAAGGUUAGCUAAUCCUGGUCGGACAUCAGGAGGUUAGUGCAAUGGCAUAAGCUAGCUUGACUGCGAGCGUGACGGCGCGAGCAGGUGCGAAAGCAGGUCAUAGUGAUCCGGUGGUUCUGAAUGGAAGGGCCAUCGCUCAACGGAUAAAAGGUACUCCGGGGAUAACAGGCUGAUACCGCCCAAGAGUUCAUAUCGACGGCGGUGUUUGGCACCUCGAUGUCGGCUCAUCACAUCCUGGGGCUGAAGUAGGUCCCAAGGGUAUGGCUGUUCGCCAUUUAAAGUGGUACGCGAGCUGGGUUUAGAACGUCGUGAGACAGUUCGGUCCCUAUCUGCCGUGGGCGCUGGAGAAUUGAGGGGGGCUGCUCCUAGUACGAGAGGACCGGAGUGGACGCAUCACUGGUGUUCGGGUUGUCAUGCCAAUGGCACUGCCCGGUAGCUAAAUGCGGAAGAGAUAAGUGCUGAAAGCAUCUAAGCACGAAACUUGCCCCGAGAUGAGUUCU
rnacentral:rRNA from 1 species